GCGGGAUCGCUGCCUCGCGCCACGCCAAAAGGCCUGUCAAAGGACCCCUAAAAUCUGUCUUAUUACUGCAUCUCUGAGUUUAUUAUACAAACGAGUUAAAACUUUCAACAACGGAUCUCUUGGCUCUGGCAUCGAUGAAGAACGCAGCGAAAUGCGAUAAGUAAUGUGAAUUGCAGAAUUCAGUGAAUCAUCGAAUCUUUGAACGCACAUUGCGCCUGAUAGUAUUCUGUCAGGCAUGCCUGUUCGAGCGUCAUUUCAACCCCCAAGCCCUAUUUGCUUGACGUUGGGAGUUUACGGAGACGUAAUUCCUCAAAUAUAGUGGCGGAGCUAGGUCGUGCUCUAAGCGUAGUAACCACACUCUCGCUUCUGCAGCCGGCCUAGGUCUUGCCGUAAAACCCCCUAUAUUUUUUUUUACUGGUUGACCUCGGAUCAGGUAGGAAUACCCGCUGAACUUAAGCAUAUCAAUAAGCGGAGGAA
rnacentral:rRNA from 1 species